UGCCCUGUAGUGCAACGGGUAGCACGUUCGACUCUGGAUCGGAAAAUCUGCGUUCGAAUCGCGGCAGGGCAGCCA
rnacentral:tRNA from 1 species